rnacentral:rRNA from 1 species
CCUGGCUCACGACGAACGCUGGCGGCGCGCCUAACACAUGCAAGUCGAACGAGCGAGAGAGAGCUUGCUUUCUCAAGCGAGUGGCGAACGGGUGAGUAACGCGUGAGGAACCUGCCUCAAAGAGGGGGACAACAGUUGGAAACGACUGCUAAUACCGCAUAAGCCCACGGGUCGGCAUCGACCAGAGGGAAAAGGAGCAAUCCGCUUUGAGAUGGCCUCGCGUCCGAUUAGCUAGUUGGUGAGGUAACGGCCCACCAAGGCAACGAUCGGUAGCCGGACUGAGAGGUUGAACGGCCACAUUGGGACUGAGACACGGCCCAGACUCCUACGGGAGGCAGCAGUGGGGAAUAUUGCACAAUGGGGGAAACCCUGAUGCAGCGACGCCGCGUGGAGGAAGAAGGUCUUCGGAUUGUAAACUCCUGUUGUUGAGGAAGAUAAUGACGGUACUCAACAAGGAAGUGACGGCUAACUACGUGCCAGCAGCCGCGGUAAAACGUAGGUCACAAGCGUUGUCCGGAAUUACUGGGUGUAAAGGGAGCGCAGGCGGGAAGACAAGUUGGAAGUGAAAUCUAUGGGCUCAACCCAUAAACUGCUUUCAAAACUGUUUUUCUUGAGUAGUGCAGAGGUAGGCGGAAUUCCCGGUGUAGCGGUGGAAUGCGUAGAUAUCGGGAGGAACACCAGUGGCGAAGGCGGCCUACUGGGCACCAACUGACGCUGAGGCUCGAAAGUGUGGGUAGCAAACAGGAUUAGAUACCCUGGUAGUCCACACCGUAAACGAUGAUUACUAGGUGUUGGAGGAUUGACCCCUUCAGUGCCGCAGUUAACACAAUAAGUAAUCCACCUGGGGAGUACGACCGCAAGGUUGAAACUCAAAGGAAUUGACGGGGGCCCGCACAAGCAGUGGAGUAUGUGGUUUAAUUCGACGCAACGCGAAGAACCUUACCAAGUCUUGACAUCCCUUGACGAACAUAGAAAUAUGUUUUCUCUUCGGAGCAAGGAGACAGGUGGUGCAUGGUUGUCGUCAGCUCGUGUCGUGAGAUGUUGGGUUAAGUCCCGCAACGAGCGCAACCCUUACUGUCAGUUACUACGCAAGAGGACUCUGGCAGGACUGCCGUUGACAAAACGGAGGAAGGUGGGGAUGACGUCAAAUCAUCAUGCCCUUUAUGACUUGGGCUACACACGUACUACAAUGGCGUUAAACAAAGAGAAGCAAGACCGCGAGGUGGAGCAAAACUCAGAAACAACGUCCCAGUUCGGACUGCAGGCUGCAACUCGCCUGCACGAAGUCGGAAUUGCUAGUAAUCGUGGAUCAGCAUGCCACGGUGAAUACGUUCCCGGGCCUUGUACACACCGCCCG